ACAUGCCUACAACAUAGCAUUAAUGCAUUGGAUCCCAUUAGAACUCUGCAGUAAAGCGUGCUCCGGAUAGAGUAGUAUUGGGAUGGGUGACCACUCAGGAAGUCCUAGUAUUUUACAUGUC
rnacentral:rRNA from 1 species